UUAACUUUAAUAAUAAUAGUAAAAAUAUCUGACAUCUAUUGAAUUGUUACUAUGUUCCAGGCACCAUUCCAAGAACUCUGCUUGCAUUAUUUCCUUUAACUUCAAGACUCAGAUCAUGGGGUUGCAUCAGUCCUUGGCUUUCUUGAGUCCUGGCAUGGCAGGUGGACCAUCACACCCUCCAGCGACCCUGACUCCUGGUCUUCAUCCUUUUGUGUGAUCCCGUCCCUGCUGUGUGAGCUGGAUAAGACGACUAACUUUUAACCAACACAACAUGGUGAAUGUGCUUCCUGAUCAGGUUUCGUAAGACUGUGAUUUGUCUUGUGGGCAGAUUGCUCUCUUGCCUUCUUGGCCUGUGCUCUCUGUGAAGCAAGCUGCUGGGUCCUGGAAAGAAGCCCACGUGGCAAGCAACUGGGCCACGUCCAGCCAGCACCCUGCUGGGUCCUCAGCUCAGGAGCCCUGGUGGAGCUAAAUUCUGCCAACAGCCACAUGAGCUUGAACAUGAACCCUCCCAGAAAUUCAGCUGCAGAUGAGACCUUCGAGGGACCCUGAAGCAGAGGAUCUAGUUGAGACAGGCUGGGCUUGGAAGUGGGACCUCAAGAGAUCUGAUGUGAUUGGCUGAGCGACACUCUGGACCCGGCCUCGCACCCGCUCCGCCUGCAUCCACUUACCUCAUGCUGACAGUUGCUGGGAGGAGGCUUCCCCCCAGAGUUUCCUUCUUUUUCAUCGGAUCCUCGGGCUCACGUGCGGGUGGGAACUAGCAGCGCGCAGCUCAGGCUUCCGCGAGGCAGAGCAAAGGCUCCGCGCUUUCCAGACUGAUUAUGAAUGAGCUCUGGCUUUCCACAGACCCACGGAGGCCGUGAGGCGAACACAACAUGCUGCAUUGGAAACAACAUGCUUCCAGAGAGGAAGAGCUUGAUAUUAUGAAGACACCACCCGGAUAAUGCUUGCUCAACUUUUUAAGAUGACCACUAAAGCCUACAAGACUUAAUAUGAGAAACCUCAAGAACCCAUGAAAGGUAUUUACCUUUAAAGAAAAAUGACGGUAAAGCCUUCCUCUGUGCUGACGCUCUUGCUGCUCAGAUGUGGCCUAAGGCUCCUACGCAGGACCUGACAGAACCCAACCCUGAAGGAGCCACCUGACAAUGGAGAACCAAGGAUGCUUUUACCAACCGAUCAGUGUUUCUUUCAAAGGAAGAUCUUGAUCAAAAGAGGCAAAUGUAAACAUAAUAUAAAUGCAGCCACUUUGAAAUGGAGCUGGAGUUGCCAUCCCAGAAGAACUGCCCUACACAGCUUAUGCCUCAAAUGUUUGGGAUGUUGAAACAGGGAAAAAUGACCAUUUUGGACUGGGCCUAAAGCAACAUUGUGCCCCAAAGAACUGUUUCGCAAGGAUAACAAGAAAGCAGUUAAUAUGACUACCAAAGGAGGUAGUCAUAAUACGCUAAAAGUUAAAAACAUUGUUUAGGAAGUCGGGGGAGGCGGGGGGUAAAGCUUAACCAAAGAACGUAUAUGCAUAUGUGCAUAACCCAUGGACACAGACAAUAGUGUGGUGAAGGCCUGGGGGGCGGAGGAGAGGGGUGAAGAGGGUUAUAAGGGGAGCAAAGGAGACAUCUGUAAUACUUUUAACAAUAAAGAUAAAUAAAAAAAUAAAAUAAAAUAAAAACACUAGAAUUAGCAUUACUAUAUUAUAUUAUCCGAUCUGAACCAAUAGAAAUGUCUUUCUUCUAUUGAUUUAACUAUUCCCCUUUCCUUGCUCAUCAAUAUCCCUUGACUUUGUCUCCUAAUUGGAAACUAUUUGGUCUUCUGCCUGAAUCUGUGCUUCUUGAAUUCUUUAAAAUCUUAAAUAAAUGUUUGUUGCCGCUCA